rnacentral:rRNA from 1 species
AUACGUAGGGGGCGAGCGUUGUCCGGAAUGAUUGGGCGUAAAGGGCGUGUAGGCGGCUUGUUAAGUCUGAAGUGAAAGUCCUGUUUUCAAGAUGGGAAUUGCUUUGGAUACUGGCGGGCUUGAGUGCAGGAGAGGGUAUAGGGAUUCCCCGGGUUGCGGGGAAACGCGUAGAGAACUGGGGGAACACCAGUGGCGAAGGCGUGUAUCUGGACUGUAACUGACGCUGAGGCGCGAAAGUGUGUGGAGCAAACAGGAUUAGAUACCCUGGUAGUCCACGCUGUAAACGAUGAAUGCUAGGUGUAGGGGGUAUCGACCCCUUCUGUGCCUCAGUAAACACAAUAAGCAUUCCGCCUGGGGAGUACGGCCGCACGGUUGAAACUCAAAUGAAUUGACGGGG